rnacentral:rRNA from 1 species
GUCGGUGACGUUAGGUCGAGGGACACACCUGAUCCCAUCCCGAACUCAGAAGUAAAGUCUCGGCCUCCGAUGAUACUGCAACGCGGGAAAGUAGGUCAUUGCCGACU